UACGGAGGAUCCAAGCGUUAUCCGGAAUCAUUGGGUUUAAAGGGUCCGUAGGCGGUUUUGUAAGUCAGUGGUGAACGCCCAUCGCUCAACGGUGGAACGGCCAUUGAUACUGCAAGACUUGAAUUAUUAGGAAGUAACUAGAAUAUGUAGUGUAGCGGUGAAAUGCUUAGAGAUUACAUGGAAUACCAAUUGCGAAGGCAGGUUACUACUAAUAUAUUGACGCUGAUGGACGAAAGCGUGGGGAGCGAACAGG
rnacentral:rRNA from 1 species